rfam:Oscillatoriales cyanobacterium TSR001 contig_28, whole genome shotgun sequence.
GCCCUUGUAGCCCAAUUGGAAGAGGUAACUCGCUUAGAACGAGAAGGUUACUGGUUCAAAUCCAGUCAGGGGCA